GAGUACAUUUUACUAACAGAAAAAGCUCAACAGAUAUGCAUUUAACAGAGAAUAAAACUGCAAAACUUCCCAGGUCAUAAAGGUGCCAGAUAGGUUAGGCGCAGUGACUCAUGCCUGUAAUCCCAGCACUUUGGGAGGCUGAGGUGGGCAGAUCCCCUGAGGUCAGGAGUUCGAGACCAGCCUGGCCAACAUGACGAAAAUCCAUCUCUACUAAAAAUACAAAAAUUAGCCGGGCGUGGUGGUGGGCAGCUGUAAUCCCAGCUACUCAGGAGGCUGAGGCAAGAGAAUCGCUUGAACCCGGGAGGCGGAGGUUGCAAUGAGCCAAGAUAGUGCCAUUGCACUCCAGCCUGGACAACAAGAGCGAAACUCCAUCAAAAAAAAAAAAAGAAAAAGAAAAAAAAAAAAGUGCCAGGUAAAUGUAGGUUGUUUUUUAUCAUUGCUAGUUGUUGUUGAUAUUGUUCUCUUCUUGCUUCACCUUUGUCUGCAAUUACUCAAACUGCUGUGAUAGCUGCUCCUCUUCUACAGAGGUGGGGUUCUACAUGACUGGGGUUCAGUGUGCCAGGAAGCCCUUGGACCAAUCAGACUCAGCAAGCUGACUCAUGGCUGUUCUUCCUAUACAUGAGAAAAAUGUGACAAUUCUUCCUAUAUAUGAGAAUAAUAAUUUGAUAAAUGACAACUAGGAGAGCAUGGCACUCAAGUAUUGAGCCAUUCCCUUCCAGAAAAGAACUUUUAUAGCUUACAAUCCACAGGGUAGAGGAUAGGAGAAAUGAGGAAAUUAAAUGUUCUUCAAAAUCUUUAUCUUCUGGCCAGGCGCAGUGGCUUACGCCUGUAAUCCCAGCACUUUGGGAGGCUGAGGCGGGCUAAUCACGAGGUCAGGAGUUCAAGACCAGCCUGACCAACAUGGUGAAACCCCGUCUCUACUAAAAAUACAAAAAUUAGCAGGGCACAGUGGUGCACACCUGUAAUCCCAGCUACUCAGGAGGCUGAGGCAGGAGAAUCACUUGAACCCGGGAGGCAGAGGUUGCAGUGAGCCAAGUUCAUGCCUCUGCACUCCAGCCUGGGUGACAGAGCAAGACUCCCUCUCCAAAAAAAAAAAAA
rnacentral:lncRNA from 1 species